AUGUACCCUAAUUAGCAUAGGAUAUUUCAAUUUUUCUUUCUCAAUUUACGUGCAAAAUCGAUGCCAUUCGUGUUGCAGUUCAUCUCGAUAAUUCCAUGAUUCAUCUGUGUCAAAGUAAUGGCUACAUCGUUCAAUAACAUAUUAAUUACCUAUGAUGAAAUAAUCCAACUUGUUUGAGGUGUUGUGGAGCCAAGCCCCUGUUUUCAGGGAGAACCUACUUGGUGAAGCUUCAUUCAAAUGACAUCAAUGGAUUUAACUGAGGC
rnacentral:lncRNA from 1 species